GCCAAUCUAUGCACUCGGAGGGAGGUGUUGGUAGCGCCUAAGGGAAGAAAAAGGGGAUUUUUAAGUUGUUGGUUAGAUUUUUGAUAAGAGAUGCAGUUAGUCUGUUAAGUUAGUUUCCAAUUAGUUCAAUUUCAGUUUUUGUUAAAUUUCAGUUAAAACUGGAUUUGCUGUUUGUUAUUAUGAAAUUGCAGGUGGAUCCUGUUAUUGCAGAUUUUAGUUAGGAUGCUAUUGAAAGUUGAAGCCAGAACCAUGGUACAUUGGCCUUGAAGCAAGAUGAAGACCAUCCUGCAAUGAAAAACUUGAAGAGCUUGAAUAUAUGUAGGCCUUUAGUAUAAGUUUAUGGGUUAUUUGUAGUCAAUGUAUAGGAUUUGGUUUUGAAUUGUAAAUUAGUGGUUGAAAUUGGAUUAUGGAAUUUGGUUUUAUGGGGAUGGCUUUGAAUGGUUUGUGUAUUGCAUGGGAUCUUCCAUUAGGUAAUGAUGUAUGUAAUGUGAAGUUGGCAUUGUAACCUGGUUGAAUAUGAAGUGGUGUUGUAAAAAUGGUCGAAAUUUGAAUGUUUUUGGAUGUAUGUGGUACUUGGAUAAAAUGGUUGAUGUUUGGCAAUAGAAAUGUGGAUAGGAUCAAUGGAACUUUGGAUGGAAA